AUUGAACGCUGGCGGCAUGCUUUACACAUGCAAGUCGAGCGGUAACAGGCCUUCGGGUGCUGACGAGUGGCGCACGGGUGAGUAAUGCAUCGGAACGUACCCAGAGGUGGGGGAUAACGCAGCGAAAGCUGUGCUAAUACCGCAUGUGAUCUGAGGAUGAAAGCGGGGGACCGAGCAGCAAUGUUUGGCCUCGCGCCUUUGGAGCGGCCGAUGUCGGAUUAGCUAGUUGGUGGGGUAAAGGCCUACCAGGGCGACGAUCCGUAGCUGGUCUGAGAGGACGACCAGCCACACUGGGACUGGGACACGGCCCAGACUCCUACGGGAGGCAGCAGUGGGGAAUUUUGGACAAUGGGCGCAAGCCUGAUCCAGCAAUGCCGCGUGCGGGAAGAAGGCCUUCGGGUUGUAAACCGCUUUUGGCAGGAACGAAACGGUGUCCGCUAAUACCGGGCGCUAAUGACGGUACCUGCAGAAUAAGCACCGGCUAACUACGUG
rnacentral:rRNA from 1 species